AGUGAACGCUGGCGGUAGGCCUAACACAUGCAAGUCGAACGGCAGCACAGUAAGAGCUUGCUCUUACGGGUGGCGAGUGGCGGACGGGUGAGGAAUACAUCGGAAUCUACUUUUUCGUGGGGGAUAACGUAGGGAAACUUACGCUAAUACCGCAUACGACCUACGGGUGAAAGCAGGGGAUCUUCGGACCUUGCGCGAUUGAAUGAGCCGAUGUCGGAUUAGCUAGUUGGCGGGGUAAAGGCCCACCAAGGCGACGAUCCGUAGCUGGUCUGAGAGGAUGAUCAGCCACACUGGAACUGAGACACGGUCCAGACUCCUACGGGAGGCAGCAGUGGGGAAUAUUGGACAAUGGGCGCAAGCCUGAUCCAGCCAUACCGCGUGGGUGAAGAAGGACUUCGGGUUGUAAAGAACUUUUGUUGGGAAAGAAAAGCAGCAGGUUAAUACCCCGCUGUUCUGACGGUACCCAAAGAAUAAGCACCGGCUAACUUCGUG
rnacentral:rRNA from 1 species